ensembl:snRNA U6 U6 spliceosomal RNA
GGGAUCUUGCUAUGGCAACUCACAUACUAAAAAUGAAACUAUACAGAGAAGAUUACAAGAGGCUCUGUGUUAGUAUGGAGUGCUAAUUUGUAAAUCAUUCCAUAUUUUG